UUCUGAGAAUUAUUUGCUAAGAUCUGCAGAAAUAUAGAUCCAGUGUCCCUAAAUCUAUUGCUGUGUUGUUUUGUAAAGACAUUUUGAAGAGUGAGUUUUUAUAGGACCUCCACCUCAGGCUGGAUUCCCAUUGCCCCAGAAUCCAUUCAACCUUAACUGGAGUUCCUCAGCAUAGAGAACCAUGUUCAGUUUUGACAACUGAAAAAAGGGCCACCUUUUGAAAAGUGCUUUAUAUUAUCAGGAGAUGAAGACCAGCAUGAGGAAACUGGGUUAAUAAUCUGAGGUGAAUAACUAGUGUCCCUAACUAGCAUCCUGUGCUGGGAAAAACCUGUGAAAAAGUCAUCCUGCAAUUCACUAGCUGCCCAUUUUAUGGCUCACAUCCUUGGGGCCUCCCCCCGUUUUAGCUGAUGGGGAAAUAAAAAUGCUUAACCACCUUCUACCACCACGGGGAGCAGGCAGUUGGACCAGGAACCACCCUUCGGCUCAUCCUAAACAGGCUGAAAAGUUGGCAGGUUUAGGGAAUGAAUCCAGGGAGAAAAAACUGCUUCUCGUCUCCUCUCUUCUCCUACCCUUGCACUCAUCCCAAUGUUACUGGGGAAAUAUUGAUAGGACUCCAAUAUUUGGAAAAAAAUGACAAUUUCAAGCUUUGAGAUGUGUUCCAUGCUGCGGAUAGAUCAUUUUGCCACCCAUUGCAACUUCACAUCGUAGGAGCAGUGUGGCCCAGGGUUGUCACCUCAUCUACUACUUUUCUCAUUUAAACUUUUUGCCAAGUGAAUGAUAUUAAGAUUCUUGUUUUAAAGAACGUUAACCGAAGAAAGAACAUGAGUGAUGGCAGUCAUUCCAUAUAGGGUUUCAGUUUGGUAUAAUAAUUAAUUAAGCCAUUAGUUCAGUAAGAGUUCUUGAGUGCCAGCUGUGUGCCAGGCACUGUUCUAAGUGCUGGAUGUAA